rnacentral:ncRNA from 2 species
AAACAAUGUCAGGGGUGCUCGGACUCGAUCGGUCCGAGCUGAGAUCCCGCAGUCGGGAACCCUUAGUACCUGAUCUGGAUAAUGCCAGCGAAGGGAGGCACGAAAACGAUCUU